rnacentral:rRNA from 1 species
GAUGUUAGCGGCGGACGGGUGAGUAACACGUGGGUAACCUGCCUGUAAGACUGGGAUAACUCCGGGAAACCGGGGCUAAUACCGGAUGGUUGUUUGAACCGCAUGGUUCAAACAUAAAAGGUGGCUUCGGCUACCACUUACAGAUGGACCCGCGGCGCAUUAGCUAGUUGGUGAGGUAACGGCUCACCAAGGCAACGAUGCGUAGCCGACCUGAGAGGGUGAUCGGCCACACUGGGACUGAGACACGGCCCAGACUCCUACGGGAGGCAGCAGUAGGGAAUCUUCCGCAAUGGACGAAAGUCUGACGGAGCAACGCCGCGUGAGUGAUGAAGGUUUUCGGAUCGUAAAGCUCUGUUGUUAGGGAAGAACAAGUACCGUUCGAAUAGGGCGGUACCUUGACGGUACCUAACCAGAAAGCCACGGCUAACUACGUGCCAGCAGCCGCGGUAAUACGUAGGUGGCAAGCGUUGUCCGGAAUUAUUGGGCGUAAAGGGCUCGCAGGCGGUUUCUUAAGUCUGAUGUGAAAGCCCCCGGCUCAACCGGGGAGGGUCAUUGGAAACUGGGGAACUUGAGUGCAGAAGAGGAGAGUGGAAUUCCACGUGUAGCGGUGAAAUGCGUAGAGAUGUGGAGGAACACCAGUGGC